GACGAACGCUGGCGGCGUGCUUAACACAUGCAAUUCGAACGGAAAGGCCCUGCUUUUGUGGGGUGCUCGAGUGGCGAACGGGUGAGUAACACGUGAGUAACCUGCCCUUGACUUUGGGAUAACUUCAGGAAACUGGGGCUAAUACCGGAUAGGAGCUCCUGCUGCAUGGUGGGGGUUGGAAAGUUUCGGCGGUUGGGGAUGGACUCGCGGCUUAUCAGCUUGUUGGUGGGGUAGUGGCUUACCAAGGCUUUGACGGGUAGCCGGCCUGAGAGGGUGACCGGGCACAUUGGGAAUGAGAAACGGCCAAGACUCCUACGGGAGGCAGAAGUGGAGAAUAUUGCACAAGGGGCGGAAGACUGAUGCAGCAACGCCGCGUGCGGGAUGACGGCCUUCGGGGUGUAAACCGCUUUCGCCUGUGACGAAGCGUGAGUGACGGUAAUGGGUAAAGAAGCACCGGCUAACUACGUG
rnacentral:rRNA from 1 species